rnacentral:rRNA from 1 species
AGAGUUUGAUCAUGGCUCAGGAUGAACGCUAGCGGGAGGCCUAACACAUGCAAGCCGAGCGGUAUUGUUUCUUCGGAAAUGAGAGAGCGGCGUACGGGUGCGGAACACGUGUGCAACCUGCCUUUAUCUGGGGGAUAGCCUUUCGAAAGGAAGAUUAAUACUCCAUAAUAUAUUGAACGGCAUCGUUUAAUAUUGAAAGCUCCGGCGGAUAGAGAUGGGCACGCGCAAGAUUAGCUAGUUGGUGAGGUAACGGCUCACCAAGGCAAUGAUCUUUAGGGGGCCUGAGAGGGUGAUCCCCCACACUGGUACUGAGACACGGACCAGACUCCUACGGGAGGCAGCAGUGAGGAAUAUUGGUCAAUGGGUGCAAGCCUGAACCAGCCAUCCCGCGUGAAGGACGACUGCCCUAUGGGUUGUAAACUCCUUUUGUAUAGGGAUAAACCUACCCUCGUGAGGGUAGCUGAAGGUACUAUACGAAUAAGCACCGGCUAACUCCGUG